GGGGUCGUAGCUCAGUGGUCAGAGCAGGGGACUCAUAAUCCCUGGGUCGCAGGUUCGAUCCCUGCCGGCCCCA
rnacentral:tRNA from 1 species